rnacentral:rRNA from 1 species
UACGGGGGGGGCAAGCGUUGUUCGGACUUCCUGGGCGUAAAGGGCUCGUAGGCGGCCAACUAAGUCGGAUGUGAAAUCCCCAGGCUUAACCUGGGAACUGCAUCCGAUACUGGAUGGCUUGAAUCCGGGAGAGGGAUGCGGAAUUCCAGGUGUAGCGGUGAAAUGCGUAGAUAUCUGGAGGAACACCGGUGGCGAAGGCGGCAUCCUGGACCGGCAUUGACGCUGAGGAGCGAAAGCCAGGGGAGCAAACGGG